rnacentral:rRNA from 1 species
CCUACGUGUGGCAGCAGUGGGGAAUAUUGCACAAUGGGGGAAACCCUGAUGCAGCAACGCCGCGUGAGUGAAGACGUACUUCGUUAUGUAAAGCUCUAUCAUCAGGGACGAUAAUGACGGUACCUGAGUAAGAAGCCACGGCUAACUACGUGCCAGCAGCCGCGGUAAUCCGUAGGGGGCAAGCGUUAUCCGGAUUUACUGGGUGUAAAGGGAGCGUAGACGGCAGUGCAAGUCUGGAGUGAAAGGCGGGGGCUCAACUCAAGGGCUGCACUUGAAACUGGACGGCUGGAGUGCAGGAGAGGGAAAUGGAAUUCCUAGUGUAGCGGUGAAAUGCGUAGAUAUUAGGAGGAACACCAGUGGCGAAGGCGGUUUACUGGACUGUAACUGACGCUGAGGCUCGAAAGCGUGGGGAGCAAACAGGAUUAGAUACCCGGGUAGUC